CCACUCCACUCUCCACUCCAGUUCCUUUAUUUCCAUUUCAUUUCCGCCACUCCAUUUCAUUUCGGUUUUCUCCAGUCCACUUCAUCUGAUGGUCUUCCACUUUACUCCAUCCCAUUUCCCACCCCUCCACUCCUUUUCAUUCCCCUCUUUCCUCCAAUUUAUUUUCCUCCACUCUGCUUCAUUUCAUUGAACUCUAUUCAGUUUAUUUCAUUUCCCACCACGCCACUCCAUUUCUUUUCCCACCGCUACGUGCAGUUUUUGUCCACUGCACUCCAUAAAAUUUAGCCCCCUCAACUCCACUGUUUCAUUUUCCCCAGUCCUCGUCAAAUAAUAUUUUUCCUCUCCUCUCCUCUCCUCUCCUCUCCUCUCCUCUCCUCUCCUCUCCUCUCCUCUCCUCUCCUCUCCUCUCCUCUCCUCUCCUCUCCUCUCCUCUCCUCUCCUCUCCUCUCCUCUCCUCUCCUCUCCCCUCCUCUCCACUCCACUCCACUCCACUCCACUCCACUCCUGUUCCUUUAUUUCCAUUUCAUUUCCCGCCACUCCAUUUCAUUUCGGUUUUCUCCAGUCCACUUCAUCUGAUGGUCUUCCACUUUACUCCAUCCCAUUUCCCACCCCUCCACUCCUUUUCAUUCCCCUCUUUACCUCACAAUUUAUUUUCCUCCACUCUGCUUCAUUUCAUUGAACUCUAUUCAGUUUAUUUCAUUUCCCACCACGCCACUCCAUUUCUUUCCCAA
rnacentral:lncRNA from 7 species